rnacentral:rRNA from 1 species
CAUGUCUUUUUGAUUAUAAUUUAAGGUUUAAUCUGCUCAAUGAGUAUUUAAAUUGCCGCAGUAUAUUGACUGUGCUAAGGUAGCAUAAUCAUUAGUUUUUUUAUUGGAAACUGGAAUGAAUGAUUGGACGAGAAAAUUACUGUCUCUUGAAAAAUUAAAAUUGAAUUUUAUUUUUAAGUAAAAAAGCUUAAAUUGUAUUUAAAGACGAGAAGACCCUAUAGAGUUUUAUAUUUAAUUUAAUAUUUAAUUUAAUUGGAAUUAAAUUUUUAUUAUAUUAGUUAUUUAAUUGGGGUGAUAAGAAGAUUUAAUAAACUCUUUUAAUUAUAAUCAUUGAUUUAUGAAUAUAAAAUCUAUUAUUUUUAAUUUUAAAAUAAAUUACCUUAGGGAUAACAGCGUAAUUUUUUUUAAAGUUCUUAUUAAAAAAAAAGAUUGCGACCUCGAUGUUGGAUUAAAUUUAAUUUUUGGUGUAGAAGCUAUAAAAUUAGGUCUGUUCGACCUUUAAAAAUUUACAUGAUCUGAGU